UACGUAGGGGGCAAGCGUUGUCCGGAUUUAUUGGGCGUAAAGAGCGUGUAGGCGGUUCGGUAGGUCCGUUGUGAAAGCUCGAGGCUCAACCUCGAGACGCCGAUGGAAACCCUCGAACUAGAGUCCGGAAGAGGAGAAUGGAAUUCCUGGUGUAGCGGUGAAAUGCGUAGAUAUCGGGAGGAACACCUGUGGCGAAAGCGGCUCACUGGACCACAACUGACGCUGAGGCGCGAAAGCUAGGGGAGCAAACAGG
rnacentral:rRNA from 1 species